rfam:Hordeum vulgare subsp. vulgare, WGS project CAJW01000000 data, contig: morex_contig_298119
UAUACACUUCCUCCGUCUCAAUAUUCUUGUCUUAGGUUUAUCUAGAAAUGAAUGUAUCUAAGUACUAUAACAUGACUGGAUGCAUUCAUAUCUAACAAAUCUAAGAUAAAUUUUUUGAGAGGGAGGGAGUAUAUA